rnacentral:tRNA from 1 species
GGUUUCGUGGUGUAGUUGGUUAUCACGUCAGUCUAACAUAUAUCAUAUAUAUAACACUGAAGGUCUCCGGUUCAAGUCCGGGCGAAAUCA